CGGGAGAUAGCUGGUUCUCCCCGAAAGCUAUUUAGGUAGCGCCUCGUGAAUUCAUCUCCGGGGGUAGAGCACUGUUUCGGCUAGGGGGCCAUCCCGGCUUACCAACCCGAUGCAAACUGCGAAUACCGGAGAAUGUUAUCACGGGAGACACACGGCGGGUGCUAACGUCCGUCGUGAAGAGGGAAACAACCCAGACCGCCAGCUAAGGUCCCAAAGUCAUGGUUAAGUGGGAAACGAUGUGGGAAGGCCCAGACAGCCAGGAUGUUGGCUUAGAAGCAGCCAUCAUUUAAAGAAAGCGUAAUAGCUCACUGGUCGAGUCGGCCUGCGCGGAAGAUGUAACGGGGCUAAACCAUGCACCGAAGCUGCGGCAGCGAACGUAUCACCCAAGACAACUUUACGGAGUUGACGAUUGACGGAGCGAAGCGACGUCAAAGCGUUCAUUAAAGUCGAGUUGGCUUAGGGAUACGUUCGUUGGGUAGGGGAGCGUUCUGUAAGCCUGUGAAGGUGUGUCGUGAGGCAUGCUGGAGGUAUCAGAAGUGCGAAUGCUGACAUAAGUAACGAUAAAGCGGGUGAAAAGCCCGCUCGCCGGAAGACCAAGGGUUCCUGUCCAACGUUAAUCGGGGCAGGGUGAGUCGACCCCUAAGGCGAGGCCGAAAGGCGUAGUCGAUGGGAAACGGGUUAAUAUUCCCGUACUUGGUGUUACUGCGAAGGGGGGACGGAGAAGGCUAUGUUGGCCGGGCGACGGUUGUCCCGGUUUAAGCGUGUAGGUGUGUGUUCCAGGUAAAUCCGGUUCACUUUAACACUGAGGCGUGACGACGAGGCACUACGGUGCUGAAGCAACAAAUGCCCUGCUUCCAGGAAAAGCCUCUAAGCAUCAGGUAACACGAAAUCGUACCCCAAACCGACACAGGUGGUCAGGUAGAGAAUACCAAGGCGCUUGAGAGAACUC
rnacentral:rRNA from 1 species